AUUGAACGCUGGCGGCAUGCCUUACACAUGCAAGUCGAACGGCAGCGGGGGAGAAGCUUGCUUUUCCUGCCGGCGAGUGGCGAACGGGUGAGUAAUACAUCGGAACGUGCCCUGUAGUGGGGGAUAACUAGUCGAAAGAUUAGCUAAUACCGCAUACGACCUGAGGGUGAAAGUGGGGGACCGCAAGGCCUCAUGCUAUAGGAGCGGCCGAUGGCUGAUUAGCUAGUUGGUGGGGUAAAGGCCUAACAAGGCGACGAUCAGUAGCUGUUCUGAGAGGACGAUCAGGCACACUGGGACUGAGACACGGCCCAGACUCCUACGGGAGGCAGCAGUGGGGAAUUUUGGACAAUGGGCGAAAGCCUGAUCCAGCAAUGCCGCGUGUGUGAAGAAGGCCUUCGGGUUGUAAAGCACUUUUGUCUGGAAAGAAAUGGCUCUGGUUAAUACCUGGGGUCGAUGACGGUACCGGAAGAAUAAGGACCGGCUAACUACGUGCCAGCCGCCGCGGUAA
rnacentral:rRNA from 1 species